AUGGGCAGACCUGUCCUACCUGUGCCAGACCCUCCAGGGACCUUCCUCCCUAAAUACACCCCCUUCCCUGCUCUGAUGGGGAGGGGGAGCCCAUGUGCCCUCCCUGGAGGUGCCUGGGGAUGGUCCCAGGUGCAAAGGGGUGGCGGGUGGCAACUACAGGGACAUGGGUUAGGGGGAUGGUGGGGUGGCACAAGGACCACACUGCACAGACAUGGAGGAUGGAAGCUGCUGGGGCCUGGCUUGCCCUGCAGUGGGAUGCAGAGUGGCUGGUGCACAGCCCAGGCAAGGGGAUAUGGCCCGGGGCAGCAGGGAUGGGAGGACUCAUCCUGGAUCCCUGUGGGGCAGGUGGGGUCUGGUGUCCCCAGAGCAGCACCCAAAGCACCCAAAGCACCCCCCCUCAGCCCUGCUGGCAGCGGCCCCCGCCCCACAGCCAGGUCUCGCCCAUCCCUCCAUGCCCCAUGGACUGGCAUGGACCAUGGCCGGUCGAUGAGGGCACUGAGCACACCCCUCUGGCCUUGCCAGAGAUGCCUGUGGAGGCACCCCAGGAUUUUGGGGGAGGCAGGGCUGUGCCCACAGGUGCAGGACAGGGGUUCACUGGCAGGGAGUGGGGCUGGGGCUGCAGGCGGCCCAGCAGAGCUGAGCUGCAUCGAUGUGGCCGGUAUGUGUGUGGGCGGCAGGCAGGGUGGGGGAGAAGGAGGGAGAGGAAGCGGCAGAGGCAGCAGCUCCUUUGAUAAGCAGCUUCCUGAACAAUUUCAAACCGUGGUGUUCGACCGACACGCGUGGUGCCUGCGGGCCUGUGCCGCGACCGACGGAACCCACGCCACAGGGCAGCAGGACCUGCCUGAGCUGAUGCAGUACCUGAAAUCCAACUCUUUGCCCACUGAGAGCUCUGACUCCACAGCAUGCCCUGUCUCUUUGGGUCCGUCUUCUCCUCAUGGAGGGAGCUGGGGAUGAGAAGGAGCCUCAUGAUCCCAAGGUGCUUCCUGCACCAUCAGGAGCUCUGCCCAGUGCAGAGUAUCACCCACAUCUCUCCAUCCCUGCCAGAGCCUGUCCCGGCAGUGCAGCCUUGGCAUCCUCCUCCAGCUGGGCUGCCUCAUCACUUCUUGCUCAGCCACCCAGAUAAAGCAGUUUCCUCUUGACAGUUGCUGAGACCUGGGGGAUGGAGGAGGCUGUCCCAGGCUCAUCUCUCCCUCUCUAGAGCGACGAGGUUGUUGAGGGUGCUUGGCCCCAUGUCUCUCAAGAGCAGGAGCUUGCCAGGCUCUUUGUGGUGCCUACAGCCCAAUGCUGCUGUGUUCAUGCAGGUCCCAACUCUCCCUCCUCCCCACUAUGCCCUCAAGCUGAAGCAGGCAUGCCAGGAAAGGGAUAGAAACACACGGCAGUGUGUGCUUCCCAUGGGGAUGGAGAGCAUCUUGGGCUCCCCCAAACCAGACUGUGCUCCAUGCAAACAGACGGUCGCUAAUGCCAUGCCCAGCGUCACCAGUGGAUGCCUGUAUGGGCUGCAGUGCUGUGGGCAUGCCAGAGGGUGAACCCAAUGGGAGUUCUCCCUGUGCCACCUGCCUGGAUGCAGGGCUGGGAAUCCUGGUUCCAGGACAGCUGAGGACAGCUGUCCCUUGCUUAGGGACAUCCCAUCUGCCAGGGGAUCCACCCAGCCUCUCAG
rnacentral:lncRNA from 1 species